AGAGUUUGAUCCUGGCUCAGAACGAACGCUGGUGGCGGGCCUAAUACAUGCAAGUCGAACGAGAAAGCCCUUCGGGGUGAGUAGAGUGGCGCACGGGUGAGUAACACGUAAAUGACCUACCCUUGAGUUGGGGACAACCAGAGGAAACUCUGGCUAAUACCGAAUACGGUGAACAACUUUGAAAGGAGUUCACUAAAGAGGGCUUCGGCUCUCGCUUGAGGAAGGGUUUGCGUAUCAUUAGCUUGAUGGUGGGGUAAUGGCCUACCAUGGCAACGAUGAUUAACUGGUCUGAGAGGAUGAUCAGUCACACUGGAACUGAGACACGGUCCAGACUCCUACGGGAGGCAGCAGUAGGGAAUAUUGCGCAAUGGGGGAAACCCUGACGCAGCCACGCCACGUGAGUGAGGAAGGUCUUCGGAUUGUAAAGCUCUGUCAGAAGGGAAGAACGGUUUGAUGGUUAAUACCCAUCAGAUUUGACGGUACCUUCAGAGGAAGCACCGGCUAACUUCGUGCCAGCAGCCGCGGUAAUACGAAGGGUGCAAGCGUUGUUCGGAUUUAUUGGGCGUAAAGCGCGCGCAGGCGGAUAUGUAAGUCAGAUGUGAAAUCUCGGGGCUCAACCCCGAAACUGCGUCUGAAACUACUUAUCUAGAGUACUGGAGAAGAAGGCGGAAUUUCGCAUGUAGGGGGUAAAAUCCGUAGAGAUGCGAAGGAACCACCAGAGGCGAAGGCGGCCUUCUGGACAGUCACUGACGCUGAGGCGCGAAAGCGUGGGGAGCAAACAGGAUUAGAUACCCUGGUAGUCCACGCCGUAAACGAUGACAACUAGUUAUGGGAGGUAUUGAUCCCUUCCGUGACGUAGCUAACGCAUUAAGUUGUCCGCCUGGGGAGUACGGUCGCAAGACUAAAACUCAAAGGAAUUGACGGGGGCCCGCACAAGCGGUGGAUUAUGUGGUUUAAUUCGAAGCAACGCGCAAAACCUUACCUGGGCUUGAACUCCCACGAACCUUCCCGAGAAGGAAGGGUGCCCCUUGGGGAAUGUGGUGAGAGGCGCUGCAUGGCUGUCGUCAGCUCGUGUUGUGAAAUGUUGGGUUAAGUCUCGCAACGAGCGCCACCCCUAUCUUCUGUUGCCAGCAUUAAGUUGGGCACUCUGGAGAGACUGCCUGGGUUAACCAGGAGGAAGGUGGGGAUGACGUCAAGUCCUCAUGGCCCUUAUGUCCAGGGCUACACACGUAAUACAAUGGUACAUACAGAGGGAUGCAAACUCGCGAGGGGGAGCAAAUCUCAAAAAGUGUAUCUCAGUCCGGAUUGGAGUCUGCAACUCGACUCCAUGAAGCUGGAAUCGCUAGUAAUCGCGGAUCAGCAUGCCGCGGUGAAUACGUUCCCGGGCCUUGUACACACCGCCCGUCACACCAUGGGAGUUGGCUCAACCUGAAGCCGUGGCCCUAACCUUUUGGAGGGGAGCGUCUACGGUGGGGCUGAUGACUGGGGUGAAGUCGUAACAAGGUA
rnacentral:rRNA from 1 species